UACGUAGGGUGCGAGCGUUAAUCGGAAUUACUGGGCGUAAAGCGUGCGCAGGCGGUUUUGUAAGCCAGAUGUGAAAUCCCCGGGCUUAACCUGGGAAUGGCAUUUGGGACUGCAAGGCUUGAGUACGGUAGGGGCAGAGGGAAUUUCCGGUGGAGCGGUGAAAUGCGUAGAGAUCGGAAGGAACACCAGUGGCGAAAGCGGCUUCCUGGUCCGACACCGACGUUCAGGCACGAAAGCGUGGGGAGCAAACAGG
rnacentral:rRNA from 1 species